rnacentral:tRNA from 1 species
GGGCAUGUAGCGCAGUUGGUAGCGCGCUCGCUUAGCAUUUAUUUGUAUGCGAGAGGUCCUCGAUUCGAAUUCGGGCUUGUCCA